AUUUUGUGUGGGUGUAAGAGGUGU
rnacentral:miRNA from 1 species